rnacentral:rRNA from 1 species
ACGAACGCUGGCGGCGUGCUUAACACCUGCAAGUCGAACGGAAAGGCCCUGCUUGCAGGGUGCUCGAGUGGCGAACGGGUGAGUAACACGUGGGUGAUCUGCCCCUUAUUUUGGGAUAAGCCUGGGAAACUGGGUCUAAUACUGGAUAGGACCAUGCUGUAGGUGGUGUGGUGGAAAGAUUAGUUUCGGUAAGGGAUGAGCUCGCGGCCUAUCAGCUUGUUGGUGGGGUAAUGGCCUACCAAGGCGUCGACGGGUAGCCGGCCUGAGAGGGUGGACGGCCACAUUGGGACUGAGAUACGGCCCAGACUCCUACGGGAGGCAGCAGUGGGGAAUAUUGCACAAUGGGCGCAAGCCUGAUGCAGCGACGCCGCGUGGGGGAUGACGGCCUUCGGGUUGUAAACUCCUUUCAGCCAUGACGAAGCCCUUGUGGUGACGGUAGUGGUAGAAGAAGCACCGGCUAACUACGUG